AACGAACGCUGGCGGCAGGCCUAACACAUGCAAGUCGAGCGCGCAGCAAUGCGAGCGGCAGACGGGUGAGUAACGCGUGGGAACCUUCCCAGUGGUACGGAAUAGCUCAGGGAAACUUGAGGUAAUACCGUAUACGCCCGAAAGGGGAAAGAUUUAUCGCCAUUGGAUGGGCCCGCGUAGGAUUAGCUAGUUGGUGAGGUAACGGCUCACCAAGGCGACGAUCCUUAGCUGGUCUGAGAGGAUGAUCAGCCACACUGGGACUGAGACACGGCCCAGACUCCUACGGGAGGCAGCAGUGGGGAAUAUUGGACAAUGGGCGCAAGCCUGAUCCAGCCAUGCCGCGUGAGUGACGAAGGUCUUCGGAUUGUAAAGCUCUUUUGGCGGGGACGAUAAUGACGGUACCCGCAGAAUAAGCCCCGGCUAACUUCGUG
rnacentral:rRNA from 1 species